UACGUAGGGAGCGAGCGUUGUCCGGAUUUAUUGGGCGUAAAGAGCUUGUAGGCGGUUCAGCAAGUCGGGUGUGAAAACUCUGGGCUCAACCCAGAGACGCCACCCGAUACUGCUGUGACUUGAGUCUGGUAGGGGAUCGCGGAAUUCCAGGUGUAGCGGUGAAAUGCACAGAUAUCUGGAGGAACACCAGCAGCGAAGGCGGCGAUCUGGGUAGAUACUGACGCUGAGGUGCGAAAGCGUGGGGAGCAAACAGG
rnacentral:rRNA from 1 species